UCCCCAUCCGGUUCGUGUUUCUGGAUCCUUUCUUGGAUUAUCCUAGUUUUCUCUCUCUCAGAAAAUUGUGCAUCAAGGUUACCAACUUCGAUCAACGUUUUCUGUCUCAAACGACCCCUCAGAACAGUAUUGAUGAAGAUGUAUAAGAGAUCAAUUGAGAAUGCAGCUGGUUUUGAAUUUGAAAUUGCAUCCCAGUUCUACUGAAAAUGGAAAUGGGGUCAGAAAAUUUGCAAGAAAGUUAAGUUAAAUAAUUUUUCUUCUGACCUAUUUGUAUAUAAACUAUGUUCAA